UACGUAGGGUGCGAGCGUUAAUCGGAAUUACUGGGCGUAAAGCGUGCGCAGGCGGUUCGUCGUGUCUGAUGUGAAAGCCCCGGGCUCAACCUGGGAAUGGCAUUGGAAACUGGCGGACUAGAGUGUGGCAGAGGGGGGUGGAAUUCCGCGUGUAGCAGUGAAAUGCGUAGAGAUGCGGAGGAACACCGAUGGCGAAGGCAGCCCCCUGGGCUGACACUGACGCUCAGGCACGAAAGCGUGGGGAGCAAACAGG
rnacentral:rRNA from 1 species